rnacentral:rRNA from 1 species
AUGGCGAGUUUUCAUGUCGCCGACGCGUCGGAGUACCUGGCCAUCACCGGCUGGGGCAUCGACGACGUCAAGCUCGCGAAGAAAGCGUGGGUGUUCGUCGGGCAGCAAUGCAAGAAGUUCUGCAUCUCGCCCGUCAACUACGAGUUCGAGGUACACGCCAUGAGCGCCGAGAAGCUGCCCUUCAUCCUCCCCGCCGUCUUCACCAUCGGCCCCAAGAUCAGCGCCAUCGGCGACGAGGCGGCGGACAAGGAGGAGCUCCAGGCGCAGCUCCUGCUCUACGCCAAGCUCAUCGCCCCGCUGCAUCACAACACCAGCCACGUCCAUGACCUCGUCAAGGGGGUCAUCGAGGGCGAGACCCGCGUGCUCGCCGCCGAGCUCACCAUGGAGGAGAUCUUCAAGGGGACCAAGACCUUCAAGGAGAAGGUGUUCGACAGGGUACAGCUGGAGCUCAAGCAGUUCGGGCUCUUCAUCUACAACGCCAACGUGAAGCAGCUGGUGGACGUGCCGGGGCACGAGUACUUCUCCUACCUCGGCCAGAAGACGCAGCAGGACGCCGCGAACCAGGCCAAGGUGGACGUGGCGGAGGCCCGUAUGAAGGGCGAGGUGGGCGCCAAGGAGAGGGAGGGGCUGACCCGGCAGAACGCCGCCAAGGUGGACGCCGAGACCAAGGUGCUGUCGGUGCGGCAGAUGGGACAGGGGCUCAAGGAGGAGGCCAAGGUGAAGGCCGAGGUGCAGGUGUUCGAGAACGCAAGGGAGGCGGACAUCGCCGCGGCCAAGGCCGAGCUGGCCAUGAAGAAGGCCGGGUGGGACAAGCAGGCCAAGGUGGCCGAGGUUGAGGCGGCCAAGGCCGUGGCCAUCCGCGAGGCCGAGCUCCAGAUGGAGGUCGAGAUUAAGAACGCCAUGCGCCAGACUGAGAAGCUCAAGGCCGAACAGCUCAGCAAGGCCACCGUGCAGUACGACACCCAGGUUCAAGACUCAAACGCGCUGUUGUACAGCAGGCAGAAGGCAGCUGAGGCGGCCCUGUUCGAGCAGAUGAGGACGGCGGAGGCGCGCAAGGCGCAGGCCGACGCCAAGUUCUUCGAGCAGAAGAUGGCCGAGGACGCCAAGCUCUACGCCAAGCAGAAGGAGGCGGAGUCGGUGGCUCUGGUGGGCAAGGCCAAGACAGAGUACGUGGCGUCCAUGCUCCAGGCGCUCGGCGGCAACUACCACGCUCUCAGAGACUACCUCAUGAUCGACUCCGGCAUGUACACGGAGAUGGCUCGCAUCAACGCCGGAGCAGUCAACGGCAUGCAGCCCAAGAUCAGCAUCUGGAGUAACGGUGGUGAAGCAGGCGGAGAGGCUGCUGCCGGCAGCGCGCUGCAGCAGGUGGCCGGGGUGUACAAGAUGCUCCCGCCGCUUGUGUCGACAGUGCACGAGCAGACAGGGAUGUUGCCGCCGGCGUGGAUGUGUACGCUGCCCAAGGACGGUGCUGCCAACUGA